rnacentral:rRNA from 1 species
CCUACGGGAGGCAGCAGUGAGGAAUAUUGGACAAUGGGCGCAAGCCUGAUCCAGCCAUGCCGCGUGCAGGAAGACGGUCCUAUGGAUUGUAAACUGCUUUUAUACAGGAAGAAACACUCCGACGUGUCGGAGCUUGACGGUACUGUAGGAAUAAGGAUCGGCUAACUCCGUGCCAGCAGCCGCGGUAAUACGGAGGAUCCAAGCGUUAUCCGGAAUCAUUGGGUUUAAAGGGUCCGUAGGCGGUUUAAUAAGUCAGUGGUGAAAUCUGGUCGCUCAACGAUCAAACGGCCAUUGAUACUGUUAGACUUGAAUUAUAAGGAAGUAACUAGAAUAUGUAGUGUAGCGGUGAAAUGCUUAGAUAUUACAUGGAAUACCAAUUGCGAAGGCAGGUUACUACUUAUGGAUUGACGCUGAUGGACGAAAGCGUGGGGAGCGAACAGGAUUAGAUACCCUGGUAGUCCACGCCGUAAACGAUGGAUACUAGCUGUUGGAAGCAAUUUCAGUGGCUAAGCGAAAGUGAUAAGUAUCCCACCUGGGGAGUACGUUGCAAGAAGAGAACGACAAAUAGAAGUUAGUACGGCGUAGAGACGUAGACGACGGACGACGACGAGGGGAGGAGG